rnacentral:rRNA from 1 species
UACAGAGGGUGCAAGCGUUGUUCGGAAUUACUGGGCGUAAAGCGCACGUAGGCGGCUUGGUAUGUCGGGUGUGAAAUCUCCGGGCCCAACCCGGAAACUGCAUUAGAAACUGCAGGGCUAGAGGCUUGGAGGGGGAACUGGAAUGCUCGGUGUAGCAGUGAAAUGCGUAGAGAUCGAGCGGAACACCAGUGGCGAAGGCGAGUUCCUGGACAAGUCCUGACGCUGAGGCACGAAAGCCGGGGGAGCAAACAGG